rnacentral:rRNA from 1 species
GACGAACGCUGGCGGCGUGCUUAACACAUGCAAGUCGAACGGAAAGGCCUGCUUUCCCUUGUGGAUUGCGGGUACUCGAGUGGCGAACGGGUGAGUAACACGUGAGUGAUCUGCCCCCAACUUGGGUAUAAGCCUGGGAAACUGGGUCUAAUUCCCGAUAGGACUGCAGGGUGGUGCCUGUGGUGGAAAACGAUUUUCUAGUGGUUGGGGAUGAGCUCGCGGCCUAUCAGCUUGUUGGUGGGGUAAUGGCCUACCAAGGCGGCGACGGGUAGCCGGCCUGGGAGGGUGGACGGCCACAUUGGGACUGGGAUACGGCCCAGACCCUACGGGAGGCAGCAGUGGGGAAUAUUGCACAAUGGGCGGAAGCCUGAUGCAGCGACGCCGCGUGGGGGAUGACGGCCUUCGGGUUGUAAACUCCUUUCGACCGCGAGGAAGCCACCUGGUUGGAAGGGUGGUGACGGUAGUGGUAGAAGAAGCACCGGCUAACUACGUG